UAAUUUUGGGGACGGGACAGCGAAUGAAAAUGAAGGGAGGAGCCAGGCAGGGAAAUCGGCUUACAAAGACUACUGAAUUGAGAUCCGGAUAUCAGGCCUCUUGUACCUCCUGGAUUAGUCGUCUGCAGCAAACUGCAGAGUGACUGCACAAGAGGGAAGGACACUGCCCAGUCAGCGUCCACUGUUAAAAUAUUCUGCUUUCCCAGCUUGUGACUCUCACGGUUUCUGAGACUUCGGGUCUCUCUUCCCGAGGCGACGGUGCAGGGACGGUAGAAGCAAGGGGUGGCCAGGCACUCAUGCACUACCGCUCGCCAAGAAAGUGCACAUUGUCGCCCUGAGGUAGCCCAGGGGUCCGGGCUUGGGGCACGCACGUAGGAUGCCUGCCAUGGAUUUGGGAGUGUCUGCAGGCCCGGGCUGAGGAGUCUGGGCAGGAGAGUACUUGCAGGCAGUCGAGCCGCACAGACUCGUACGGUCGAGUCCUGCUUCUUCAUCAGGAUUCGGAGCCGAUUUGACCUGAGAGACCAGCAGUGUAUAAACCUUGUCUCAGGCGGAGGAGUCCUAUUUAAUCAAAAUAGCAGGAAGUCAUCAUAUUGUUCAUCUACAACAAAAAAUGCAAGUGCUUUCUUUCAACCUUUCCUUUCUUUUUGUAGAAAGCAUAAGUGCGCAUGGCAAGUUGGAGAAACGAAAACAAGAAAUCUGUCCCAAGUGACUUACAGUUUGUUACCCCAAAGUGGUGACCAUUCAGUGUUUAGAAAGACACAGACUUCAGCCUGUCUGUGACCAGGACCUUUUCUGCAAUCUAACAGAAUUAAGGUACAGCUUCAGUUCCCUCAGUGGUCGCCGCUCAGGUCAGAAAAGAGGCGAAAGACAGAUCUACAGCCUGCCCUUUUAUUGUUCACACCCCAGAAUUCAAAGAAUAUACACUUUUUUCAGUGCCUAUCUAGCUAUGUAAAAUAGUGCAAUAUAGAUUCUCACCUUUAUCAGCUGGGGAUAUUUGGGGAGCGGAAGUGGGGUAGCAGCUUGCCGACGUGCAGCGUGUCAUCUUCAUUUGUGGAAUUCUCCAAUUUUCCUUCCAGCUCACAUCCUAUAUUUACAGGGAGCUUAUUUUAAUGUUUUAAUAAACAUUAAAACAUUCAUUCAGAUUUCUUUGUUUCACUGAAACUUUAGCACCUGGAAUGACACCAGUCCUCUGGUGGAUGGAGAAGAUGUCAGUUAGCUGGGAUUGAUGUCCUUGUGAAGUUACAACUCCGCAGCAGAGGAUUUCUUAUCUCCUCCUUUGCUAUCACUGUUUGCAAACCCCCUGUUUUCUUUUUGCCUUUGUUCAUGGGCUUCACUGACCAGGCUGCUUUGUUUCUAAAGUUUAUCUAAGACAUUUAAAAUAAAUGCCUCUAUUAUAGCAAAGCCACUGGUAUAUUGAGUGCUCUUGGUUCUAACAGUCAUUCCUACUAACAUUAUCAAACUAAAGGUGUGAUAUAUUGCUUUUCAAUGAUCUGUUGUAAGCCUUCCUUACUAUUAUGUCAUCUUUGUGACUCUUUGCUCUAGUUUUCUCUGGACGUAUUAAUUGCUUUCUUUCAUUGACCAGGCUAGUUGUCAUGUCUGCAAAAGUUCACUCCUGCUUAAGCUUCAGUUCUGUAGCUUGGUACAGGCCUCUUGAAAAUGGCCCAGACUGGCAACAAGUGAUUAUACAUUUUCACUGAGCAUGCUGUGGUCAUUUAACAAGAACACAGUAUUCUUGUAAUAGGAUCCUACCAGGGGUCAGUAGGCUGGAUCUGGCCUGUGCAGCAACUGGAUCUGGAUCUGGCCCACAGAAUCCCAGGGCUUUGUUUGUGCCAAGCCUGUGCCUGCACUGGGGCCAGGCAACUUCCAGCUACCCUCUUGCCACUGCUACUUUUGACGCUUUCCCAGACCAUAGAAAAGAACAUUUUCAGUCUAGUUUUUGAAUCUCAGUGAAACAAAAAAAUUGAGACUGGAGUGUGCAGUGAAAUAUGAAAGUUUGCAUAUGGUACAAAAUUAUUCUGGGUAAUCAGUUCCCAAGCAGAUGGCGAGCUGAUGUCUGUGGUGUCUAUGCUCAAGUUCUUGCUGGUCCAGUCCUGUGCCCCAAGGCUCACGUUGAAGUCCUCAUGGGGCGCAUCUACCCAAGACGCUUACUGCACAUUAGCCUAAUAACACUGCGCAAUAGCGCAUCACAGCACAAACCGUGCUAAUCACCUACUGCACCUACUGUGCUAUGAGGCUAAUGCGCAGUAAGCAUCACUAAAUAACCGUGCGCUGGCACUACUGCACAGUAACUCCAGGUACUGAGCAUUUAGUCAGUACUUUAUUAAGCAAGUACUACAAUAAAUGCACAGUAUCUAAGUCGUGCACAUGGACAUAUAAACAUGAGCGCUGAGGACCAGGCACUCGUGAGGACUCAGGGUGCUGAGGUAGUGGGUUCUUGCUGAUCAGCGCUGUGAGUGGGGGUGCCGACCUUAGCCAGGUUCAAGAUAGCCCCUGCGUUUGGGCCCAGAGAUGGGCCAGGCAGCCAGCACCGCCUCAGCCAUUUGCAGGAUUUCCAUCUGCAGCCCUGGGGAGAACAGGGUUGCCCCAUCCUGUCUCUGUGGGGUGGCUGAAGUAGACCCUGUCCCCCAACUCCAGCUGCCACCUGGCUUCAGUUGUGGGGUCAUGUAAGUUUUCUGCAGGAAUAGUACAGAGUGCACCCCUGUCCAAAUGGACCUGAGGAGACCUGUCCUGCAGCCAUGGAUGCUGAGGCGGUGAUGGUGAGGGUCCUCAGGGCUGAGGGUUGCUGGGAGACUCAGUGGGGGCUCAUGAGGGACAGUGCCAGUCGCAGGGCCAGCAGCAACUGCAUUCUUCUUCUGCAGAUGAGACGGUGUUGUGAAAGCGGUGGGCCUGCUGGAAAUCUCUGCCAUUCUGCCUCCUGGGCCCCUUGCCCUCCCUCCCCAGAGCCUUCCUUCCUGGCACAAGGAUCUGGUGAUAAUCCCCACAGCCAUCCUGGUGAGCUGCACCUUGUUUCCAGAGUGCAGCGGGUUCUCCAGACUUGGUCAGGAAAUGCCACUGUUUCAUCAUGGAUGCUGCCAGUUUGCUUAAUUUUCCUUUCUGUUUUCCCUUCUGUACACGUAUGGAGAAUUAGAGUAAGUGUCCUGUCUUUAAUAAUGUGCAUUUGCAUUUCUAAUCCAUCAAAUGCUUAUCUUUGUUUUUAGAGAGUUCAUAGCCAAGGACUUACCAGUUUUUACUUAUGAUGAGAAGGGAGACCUGAUAACUGAUAAUCCAUAUAUUCAAGUUGCUUUGCCUGAACCCUGCAUCUUUUCUCGCUGUCUAAAGUAUAAAUAUGCUUGUAAAUUUGUAGAGGUCAGAGUUCCUUUGAGAACUCUCCCUGUGAUCACUUGUAUAGUUUUAAAUAAACCUAGAUGGCUCUGCCAAUUCUGA